UACGUAGGGAGCAAGCGUUGUCCGGAUUUACUGGGUGUAAAGGGCGCGCAGGCGGGUCAAUAAGUCAGAGGUGAAAUCCUACAGCUCAACUGUAGAACUGCCUUUGAUACUGCUGAUCUUGAGUAUGGAAGAGAGAGACGGAAUUCCAGGUGUAGUGGUGAAAUACGUAGAUAUCUGGAAGAACACCAGUUGCGAAGGCGGUCUCUUGGUCCAAUACUGACGCUGAGGCGCGAAAGCGUGGGUAGCAAACAGGAUUAGAUACCCGAGUA
rnacentral:rRNA from 1 species